GGUAUGGCUCUCCUGACUGGAAAGCUCCUUUCUCUUCUGUCCUGCGUUGUGUUUUUUCCGGGCGCGUUUGCAGGUAGAAUGUGUUCUUUUCUAUCAGAGUGAAACUGUCUUCAGAGAACCUGGCUUCAGAGAACCCCGUUCAUUCAACAUGUGAGUGCCAGAUAUUUCGGCAACUUCCUUCUAAAGACAUCCAGAAAGCACCUGCUGCUCAUGGCCUCCUCGGCUAGCCCCAGGCCUGGCUGCCAUCUCCCCCUGCAUCCCAGCAACAGCUCCCUUGCUGCUCCCAAGCUCUGUGACUUCCUUCACCCCUGCCUCCCACAGAGCGGCCAGACCUAUGGUGGAUCAUGUCCCUCCUCGGCUAGAACCCACACGGCAGCGGUGAGGUCCGAGGACACCUUGCCUGUGGCCGGGGGCUGAGCCCCCGGCAAAUCUCCACCUCUGGUCGCUGCUUCUUCUGCACCCCAGCCACUCCUAAUUGGGACACUGUGACUCCCUCAUUAAUGUCUGGAGACACUUCUGGCUGUCAGAACUGGGGGGAUGCUACUAACAUCCAGUGAGUAAAGGACAUCCUGUGAUGCACAGAACAGUCCCCACAACAGAAAAGUGUCAGUUUCCCUAAGGUUGCAGUCUCUGCUUCAGCUCAACCUGCGGUGUACACUCAGCUCAACUGGGAAGCUUCUAGAAGGCUCACCCCUACUUCCUUCAGCCUGAGAGGAGCCUGCCCCAGCCUCCCAUCCUCAUCCAUCUUCACAGUUUCCUGCUGCUACCUGGGGCUCUGUGUCCUAUGGUUUGUUAGUUUAUUGUCAUCUUGCCUCUAAAAUGCAAAAUACCAGAGGGCAGGGGCUUGGCUCCUACCUCCCCGGGUCUAGAACAGGGCAAUUCACGCUCCAUUACUCCCUUUAUAAGUGUGAACAAUGAAUAUUUCUGUUCCACAUCAAAUUUAGUAUUCAGCCUCUACUGCGGUGUGACAUGUAAGAAUCACAGCUAGGGAGAUGCAGGUGCUGCUUCAAGAGCCCUGGGUGACUUGGAACAAAAUUACCCACGAGCAGGUCAUGCCUCAUUCUUGAUGUCUGUAAAACGUGGGCACACAUCUGACCUGCCCUCCAAGUGUUGUUCUGAGACUGUGUAAACAGGUGUGUGGAGAGUCCCCUUCAGCUGAGAUUAGGAACAGUGAUAGCUCUUCAUUUUGCAUCAGAGAACCAGAUGGCUUAAGUUCUUUCUAACCUGGGGAAGGAACUGAGCCUGAGGAAUUUUACGCCAGUAAAAUCACCCUCCGACUCGCUCCUACUUCCCAAAUGCUUAGUGGAGUCAAAUCUGAUCAUAGAGAGGAAGGUGAUUUAAAACCUAGUUCGAUGUCAGUUAUCCUCACGUUGGCAUCCUUUAGUAAAAGCCUGUCAGUCACACAUACUACGAUGAACUUUGCAAAUCAAUCCCCACC